AUUGACCCCCUAAGGAGUUAUUGUCCUUUAUAGUCAAUUUUUAACAAUUUUCAUAAAAUUUGUAAAUUUUUACUAACAUUUUCCACUGAAACUACUGGGCUAAGAUCAUUAUAGAUAGAGAUAAUUGUAAGCAGCAAGAAUGUUCAGUAAAGUAAGAUGUACAAACACAUUACCAUCACCAAAACACAAUUUUGUCAUGAAUCCAUCUGCUUCCUUUGUUUAAUAUUCAAAAAUACCAAGGUGAGCGACACAGGCUCUUUAGAGCCUCUAGUUUUUCAAGUAGUCACUUAACCAUGAAAAUGAGAUCAAGGACAUUUGAUAUGUAGACGGAAACUUCGUAACAUGAGGCAUCUAUAUACAAAGUAUGAAGCAUCCAGGUCUCCCGCCUUCUAAAACAUAACACUUUAAAGAAUUUAGAUACCCCCACCGCCAGAUCACUAUCCCUAUGUCAAGUUUUCUGUGACAAAAUUUGCAGGCUGGACAAAAAACUUACCACUUAUCAA
rnacentral:lncRNA from 1 species